AUUUUUCUUACCCUUAUGGUUUUGGGAGUAACCUCAUUCUCCCUUCUUGGUGUUUGUUCUUGACCUCAGCCUCUCUCUACUCUUUGUAGACAUAAAUGAAUGCACAGAUUUUGUAGAUGCCCCUUGUAGCCACUUCUGCAACAAUUUCAUUGGUGGUUACUUCUGCUCCUGCCCCCCGGAAUAUUUCCUCCAUGAUGACAUGAAGAAUUGUGGAGUUAAUUGCAGUGGGGAUGUAUUCACUGCACUGAUUGGGGAGAUUGCAAGUCCCAAUUAUCCCAAACCAUAUCCAGAGAACUCAAGGUGUGAAUACCAGAUCCGGUUGGAGAAAGGGUUCCAAGUUGUGGUGACCGUGCGGAGAGAAGAUUUUGAUGUGGAACCAGCUGACUCAGAGGGAAACUGCCUUGACAGUUUAGUUGUGCGUGAUGGUCGAUUAAUACCCCUACCCUCAACUUACACAAAGAGAUCUCUCCCUGAAGAUAAAGAAAUUUUUUUUGAGACAGUGUUGCUCAAGUGGAGUGCAG
rnacentral:sRNA from 1 species